rnacentral:RNase_P_RNA from 1 species
ACAGUAUGGCGGUCUGUCGCUCGUGUUUCCUUGCUUCGGCGGGGAAUAUCGAGAGGAAAGUCCGGGCAACAUAGAGCAUCACACUUCUUAACGGGAAGCUGGGGGCGACUUUAGGGUUAAGGUGACAGAAAAUUACCGCCCUCAUUUCGGUGAGGGUAAGGGUGAAAAGGCGAGGUAAGAGCUCACCGGGCAUCAUGGCGACAUGGUGUGCCGCACUACCUGUGAGUUGCAAGGUCAAGUAUAUCGGCAUUUAAGGGUUGCUCGCCCAUUGUCGAGGGGUAGACUGCUAUAUCGGCAUGGCAACAUGUCGGACAGAUAAAUGACAGACGGUCGCGCUUCAUGGGUGCGGCUACAUAACCCGGCUUAUAGCUGUACUGUUUUU